rnacentral:rRNA from 1 species
CAGCUGCGAUAAGUAGUGUGAAUUGCAGAACUCAGCGAAUCAUCGAAUCUUUGAACGCAAAUGGCGCUCCCUGGUUCUCCAGGGAGCAUGUCUGUCUGAGCGUCAUGUCAAGUAGACCAGCAGACACUCGUCACGCGCUGGCGAGCGAGUGUUUGGCGUUGAGGCAACAUGAGCAGCGAAGAUGCGCUGCUCGCGUGCCUUGAAGUGCAGUGCACAUGGCUCAAAACUCACGCACAGGCAGUGGUCGAGUGUGAGAGCAGCAAAACGACAAUGUGCCGUGGUCCUGCAUCUCCUCUCGCGCCAGUGUCUUGUGUGUUGAGCGAGUAGCAUGAGCAGCAGCAGCAGCAGGGAGCACACGUGGCGCUCUGCAUGCAAAAGGUGUCGUAGCGUUGGUUAUGAUGGCGAUGAUUUUGACCUCCCAAUCAGCAAGAACAACCGCCGAAUUUAA